rnacentral:rRNA from 1 species
AAUGAACGCUGGCGGCAGGCCUAACACAUGCAAGUCGAACGGAUCCUUCGGGAUUAGUGGCGGACGGGUGAGUAACGCGUGGGAACAUACCCAAAGGUACGGAAUAGCCUCGGGAAACUGGGAGUAAUACCGUAUGUGCUCGAAAGAGGAAAGAUUUAUCGCCUUUGGAUUGGCCCGCGUUGGAUUAGGUAGUUGGUGGGGUAAUGGCCUACCAAGCCGACGAUCCAUAGCUGGUUUGAGAGGAUGAUCAGCCACACUGGAACUGAGACACGGCCCAGACUCCUACGGGAGGCAGCAGUGGGAAAUCUUAGACAAUGGGGGAAACCCUGAUCUAGCCAUGCCGCGUGAUCGAUGAAGGCCUUAGGGUUGUAAAGAUCUUUCAGGUGGGAAGAUAAUGACUGUACCACCAGAAGAAGCCCCGGCUAACUCCGUGCCAGCCGCCGCGGUAA